rnacentral:sRNA from 1 species
UCUGGUCAGGAGCAAAGGCUUUUCCUUUGUGCGCAUCACUUGGUUGUUGACCUCAUGUCUUGGAGGAUCAUCAUUUCCGAUCUCGAAGAAUUGUUGACAGGAGGGCAGAUUCCAGCUCUCCCUCCAACAUCCUUUCGUGCAUGGUGUAAUAUUCAAAUGGAGUCUUCGCGACAGCUUUCUACGCCCGAAUCAGUAUUACCAAUUGAAACUAGUGCAUCACAAGUCUCAUACUGGGAUCUACCUGAAGACAAUAUCUACAGUGAUGAGGUCGUGGAAGAAUUUACCAUUAAUGGAGAAGCUAGUCGUCUACUUCUUGACAAGUGCAACAAACCUCUGCGAACAGAAUCGAUAGAGGUAUUUAUCUCUGCUCUCUUGUAUUCAUUUCACCAUAUAUUUCCAGACCGCUCCGACCCGACAAUAUUCACCGAAGGGCAUGGUCGCGAAUCACCGAACCCUGAAGUGGACCUAUCAGGCACCGUUGGCUGGUUCACGACAUUGACUCCCAUUUACGCUUACUCUGAAGACAGCGAUAGUUUGAUAGAUGUCAUACGGAAAAUAAAAGAUGUACGUAGGCGAAUCCCCGGGAAUGGCCAGCCAUAUUUCGCCUCACGAUUCUUCAAUGAUUCGGCUAGGGCAGAAUUCCGAAAGCAUGAGAAGAUGG